ensembl:misc_RNA Y_RNA Y RNA
GGCUGGUCCAAGUGCAGUUUGUUUACAACAAAUUUAUCACAACCAGUUACAGAUUCCCUUGUUCCUUCUCUAUUCCCACGGCUUCACCUGACUACCUUUAA